CCCUUAGACGUUCUGGGCCGCACGCGCGCUACACUGACCAGUGCAACAAGCAUCCGUCCUUGGCCGACAGGCUCGGGCAAUCUUUGAACGCUGGUCGUGAUGGGGAUAGACUUUUGCAAUUUUUGGUCUUCAACGAGGAAUUCCUAGUAAACGCAAGUCAUCAACUUGCAUUGAUUACGUCCCUGCCCUUUGUACACACCGCCCGUCGCACCUACCGAUUGAAUGGUCCGGUGAAGCCUCCGGAUUGGCGCGCACCUCGGUGCCGCCGAGAAGUUGGCUAAACCGUACCAUUUAGAGGAAGGUGAAGUCGUAACA
rnacentral:rRNA from 1 species